UGGUGGUGUGAAUUGUCUGGUUGAUUCCGAUAACGAGCGAGAUUGUUACUUACUAACUAGCCGUCUUGCUCGUUAUCGGAAUCAGCCAGUCUUUUCUGACACCACCAAGGCAUUCGCUUCUUAGUGGAAUCUAUGCUGUCUAAGUAUAUGAUAGAGAGCCAUAACA
rnacentral:rRNA from 1 species